AAAAGGGGUGUGCUGGGAGGGUUAUGGUUUGGCAGGAGGAAUGAGAUAGGAAGGAAGCUGUGUCCAGUAGUAGAGAUGAAGUCUGAACGUUCUACUUGCUGGUGCUUGCCCAAUAUUUCUUCAUAUUGACUGGAUUGUGUCUCGCAAAUGCUGCUAAUCCAAUGAACACUGGGAUCCCUUGGAGGACAAUGGAGAGGUGGGCAAUACUGGAAGCUCCAGACCUGGCACCAAUGCCUAUAUCUUGAACAAACUACUCUGGCACACCUUUUCCA
rnacentral:lncRNA from 1 species